rnacentral:rRNA from 1 species
GACUCCUACGGGAGGCAGCAGUGGGGAAUUUUCCGCAAUGGGUGAAAGCCUGACGGAGCAACGCCGCGUGAGGGAUGAAGGCCUCUGGGCUGUAAACCUCUUUUAUCAAGGAAGAAGAUCUGACGGUACUUGAUGAAUAAGCCACGGCUAAUUCCGUGCCAGCAGCCGCGGUAAU